rnacentral:lncRNA from 1 species
GAAAGAAAGAAAGAAAGAAAGAAAGAAAGAAAGAAAGAAAGAAAGAAAGAAAGAAAGAAAGAAAGAAAGAAAGAAAGAAAGAAAGAAAGAAAGAAAGGAAAGAAAGAAAGAAGUUAGAACACUAACCAGUCAAAGCAGUGUUGGCUUCCUGAAUCAAACAACACCACAGUACCUAUUUCUCCUGGGAGAGGUAGUGUUACAGCUCUUGGAUGUGACAGUGGUAUCUGAUUGUUCCCAGCUGCCGAUCCUUUGUCAGCAGAU